UUUUCGUAAUCGUAACUGAACAAGCAGCUUCUGAAGUUUGUUGCGUGAGAAAAACGACUUUGAUGAGUAGCCACGUUCAAGUCGUUCGCUAGGAAACUUGUAAUUUUUCUCGUGACAAGCAGUAAGAUGGAAGACGGGAUAAUUAUUAGAUAUUUGACGCCGAGCAUUAGGAUAUUUAUAGGGAAAACAGAAAAUUUAAGAAAACGUAUAACGUUGCUUGGAUGUUUGCGCAAUGCAAAAAGAAGAGAUUACAGGAUACGCGAAAUUAACAUGAAUGAUUACAGAAGAUGCUCCCAGAGUUACGCGAAUGAAGUUUGCAUGCGAUCCAGUCGUAAUCGCUCUUGAAAUUGUGGACGUGAUCUGGAAUUAAUUCUUGGAGGAAGCUUGAGAAGAGGAUACAGAGGAUACUCUAAACCAAUUACCAACACUUCAAAGCGUAUUUUGCCGUGAGCGUUCCUCGAGAAACACGAGAUUUAGAUUUAGAACUAGCGGCGGGAUUAAAUUCAACGAACAUCCGCGAAGCGUUCACAAUAUAAAACAAUCAUAAAAUUCA